AGGAAGGAAAAGAGGGAACAUGUUGAACUAUUGGAACGUGCCCAGCCUUAGAAGUAGCCUUCAGACUAACCUACUUCCCUGCAAUAACAAGGCCCCUGAAUAUAACAACAUUUAGGAAGGAACCCCUGUUCCUGGAGAGAGACCCUCCUGUAGGUUUUAACCCCAACCCUGUUCCUGGAGAGUUACCUUCCUGUAGGUUUUAACUCCAACCCUGUUCCUGGAGAGUUACCUUCCUGUAGGUUUUAACCCCAACCCUGUUCCUGGAGAGUUACCUUCCUGUAGGUUUUAACUCCAACCCUGUUCCUGGAGAGUUACCUUCCUGUAGGUUUUAACCCCAACCCUGUUCCUGGAGAGAGACCCUCCUGUAGGUUUUAACUCCAACCCUGUUCCUGGAGAGUUACCUUCCUGUAGGUUUUAACUCCAACCCUGUUCCUGGAGAGAGACCCUCCUGUAGGUUUUAACUCCAACCCUGUUCCUGGAGAGUUACCUUCCUGUAGGUUUUAACUCCAACCCUGUUCCUGGAGAGUUACCUUCCUGUAGGUUUUAACCCCAACCCUGUUCCUGGAGAGUUACCUUCCUGUAGGUUUUAACCCCAACCCUGUUCCUGGAGAGAGACCCUCCUGUAGGUUUUAACUCCAACCCUGUUCCUGGAGAGUUACCUUCCUGUAGGUUUUAACUCCAACCCUGUUCCUGGAGAGUUACCUUCCUGUAGGUUUUAACCCCAACCCUGUUCCUGGAGAGUUACCUUCCUGUAGGUUUUAACCCCAACCCUGUUCCUGGAGAGUUACCUUCCUGUAGGUUUUAACCCCAACCCUGUUCCUGGAGAGAGACCCUCCUGUAGGUUUUAACUCCAACCCUGUUCCUGGAGAGAUACCCUCCUGUAGGUUUUAACUCCAACCCUGUUCCUGGAGAGAUAUCCUCCUGUAGGUUUUAACUCCAACCCUGUUCCUGGAGAGGUACCCUCCUGUAGGUUUUAACUCCAACCCUGUUCCUGGAGAGAUACCCUCCUGUAGGUUUUAACUCCAACCCUGUUCUUGGAGAGUUACCUUCCUGUAGGUUUUAACUCCAACCCUGUUCCUGGAGAGAGACCCUCCUGUAGGUUUUAACUCCAACCCUGUUCCUGGAAAGAGACCCUCCUGUAGGUUUUAACUCCAACCCUGUUCUUGGAGAGUUACCUUCCUGUAGGUUUUAACUCCAACCCUGUUCCUGGAAAGAGACCCUCCUGUAGGUUUUAACUCCAACCCUGUUCCUGGAGAGAGACCCUCCUGUAGGUUUUAACUCCAACCCUGUUCCUGGAGAGAGACCCUCCUGUAGGUUUUAACUCUAACCCUGUUCCUGGAGAGAUACCCUCCUGUAGGUUUUAAUUCCAACCCUGUUCCUGGAGAGAGACCCUCCUGUAGGUUUUAACUCCAACCCUGUUCCUGGAGAGAGACCCUCCUGUAGGUUUUAAUUCCAACCCUGUUCCUGGAGAGAGACCCUCCUGUAGGUUUUAACUCCAACCCUGUUCCUGGAGAGAGACCCUCCUGUAGGUUUUAACUCCAACCCUGUUCCUAGAGAGAGACCCUCCUGUAGGUUUUAACUCCAACCCUGUUCCUGGAGAGAGACCCUCCUGUAGGUUUUAACUCCAACCCUGUUCCUAGAGAGAGACCCUCCUGUAGGUUUUAACUCCAACCCUGUUCCUGGAGAGAGACCCUCCUGUAGGUUUUAACUCCAACCCUGUUCCUGGAGAGAUACCCUCCUGUAGGUUUUAAUUCCAACCCUGUUCCUGGAAGAGAGACCCUCCUGUAGGUUUUAACUCCAACCCUG